rnacentral:rRNA from 1 species
UACGAAGGGGGCUAGCGUUGCUCGGAAUCACUGGGCGUAAAGGGCGCGUGGGCGGCGUUUUAAGUCGGGGGUGAAAGCCCAGGGCUCAACCCUGGAAUUGCCUUCGAUACUGGGAGUCUUGAGUUCGGAAGAGGUUGGUGGAACUGCGAGUGUAGAGGUGAAAUUCGUAGAUAUUCGCAAGAACACCAGUGGCGAAGGCGGCCAACUGGUCCGAAACUGACGCUGAGGCGCCGAAAGCGUGGGGAGCAAACAGG